GCCCGCCCCCGCCGCAGCCCCUGCCCCGCCCCGUCGCCGCCUCUUCCCUCUGCCCUGGAAGCAGAUCCGGGGCUGAGGGAGGUGCGGGGUCGCCCCGCGGGCUGGGCCGACUCCACGCGGCGCCCGGCCUUCAGCUACGGCGAGGGGAACUCGGCCCCUGGAGACCCUUCCUCUGCUGGUCUCGCUCCCUCAACCUCCCUGGGCCGCGGGUUUAAGAGAAUCUACCUUCAUCCUUCUGUGCUCACCAGGAUUGGAAAUGUCAACUCAGCAUGAUGGAAGCACCGUCCAGGAAUGUGAGGCAAUAACAUGGGACUCCCUAUCCCCAAUCAAGAGAUGCAGCGUUUCUGCAGGAGCGGUAAGCCACCAGUCUU